UCCUUUCUUUCCCGCGCGUCCGGAGCAGCCCGGCCCGACGGCCGCGAGAACACGAGAGAGCUUGCAGAGAGGCCGGGCGCUGGCCUGUGUGGGCCGCCCGGCGGCGGCGGCGGCGGCGGCGGCGGCGGCGACUCCCCCGCCCGGCCGGACAGUGCAGGGCCAUGGCCGAGGCGGCCCGGCUCCGUUGCAGGCAUGGCACGUGGGGACUGACCUCCAACGAGAGGCCCAGAUCCAGUGUGCAGAGAUUUCCCUUCUGGCCAUCUUGGCUGCCAUUCAGGCUGUGGGGAAGGUGGAACGCCGGGCCCAUCCGACUUCAGAGCCUGGAGAGGUGAACAGAGACAGCCGAGAAGAAGCUGGCUGACUGUGAGAAGAUGGCUGUGGAGAUAAAGAGUCCGCUGGAGGGCAAGUUGGGACCCUGCUGCAGGAGCACGGGAUGCUGCAGAGGUGGCUGGAGAACAUGGAGGGUCUGCGAGGAACAGGCAGCAAGGGGAGCCCCGCAAGGUGAGUGCCUCACCUGGGCCAGACCCGGGUACCAGAUGCUGGAGCAAGCACAGAGAUGACCUGAAGCCUGCCCUUGAGAAUGUCAAGCACACAUGCCGUCAAGGGCCCACGCCAGGCACGCACGGAGCCCAGGACAGCCUGGAGGAGGGAGACCCUCAAAGCAUCUCACAGCCGCGAUGUGUGGCCAAGGGUCCUGGGGGCUGUAACUUGGCGUGAUGAUCCCUCGUCUCCACAGUGUAAGUGUUUGCUGUAAAAAUAACUUCUGUAAUCCAGGCAGCUUCUGCCAGGGCCUUUCUGGACAUCUGUGCUGCUACUUCCUUCUGCCUUCCAGGGAUUCUUGGUGGGUGUCAGCUCUCUAGACUUCACUGGGACUCGCCAUAUAACCUGCUAUGAACAUCUGCCUGGUAAUGUAGAGGUUAUAGAGAAUAGAGAUGCAUGUACACCCUAAAAGGAAGAAGUAAACUUAAACCCUGUGCCCUGUCAAAGGUGUAAGCAUGGAAUGUGUCAAUGGAUAAAUUAAACCCACAGAGUUUGGAUUGAGACUGGGAAACAUUGACGCAAGG